GACUCACGCGCCGUUGACCAAACUACAAUCACACAGCAACUAGACAAGACUCAGGACUUCGUGUCGGUAGAUCAAAGUUAGGUGAGAAGACCAGAAAGGUUUCACUUCUAAUCUAGAGAAGAAAGGAAAACUGCUACCAGGGUUGCGUUCAACAUGAAACCAUCCACCCUUCGCAGAGCACCGUUGGUUCUCUUCUUUGUCCUGGCAGUUGCUACGUCACACGGAGAAAUCGACACCGAUCUAGCAGUGGAUCAAGUGGUGGGAACUUUGUUCAAUCGAUUAUUUCCAGAGUUCCCAGAGAAAACUCCCUAUUUCCACAAAACUAGUCACCAUGGGGAUACUGCAAACAUGAAUGACGUGAUGAAUCCUGAAGAAAUGAUAGAAGACCGCCAUGUACCAGAAGGGAAGACAAACAGCGCUGUGUGGUAUGUUCAUAAAGAACAAAGAAAAAGAGGCCCCGGCUGUAUGAGAAAAUGUAUAGCGCAAGGCAUCCUCCACCCUGUCCAAUGCCAUUCUUUGUGCUAAUAGAUAGAUAGUUUCUUUCAGUAAAACAGAUUCCACGGGAAAAACAACUGAAGGAAUUGUCAACAGUCACCGAAUACCUUGAAGAUCCCCGUAAAAAGAAAAUACAACAAAAAACAAAAUUGUCAACAUUGGAUUAAGCCUGAUAUGUAGAUAUGUUAUUGGUAUAAUUCGCUUAUGAAAUAGAGUUAACUACGAACGUGAGUUUUAAAUUAAGUUAAUAUGAUAUUAUUUUUCUCUUUGUUUUUUAGUAUUGAAAGAUGGUAUAACGUAAACGACGCAUAUAUAUAACGUAAUAAAAACCUGUAUCACA